rnacentral:rRNA from 1 species
GAAUCUUCCACAAUGGGCGCAAGCCUGAUGGAGCAACGCCGCGUGUGUGAUGAAGGCUUUCGAGUCGUAAAGCACUGUUGUAUGGGAAGAAAUGCUAAAAUAGGGAAUGAUUUUAGUUUGACGGUACCAUACCAGAAAGGGACGGCUAAAUACGUGCCAGCAGCCGCGGUAAUACGUAUGUCCCGAGCGUUAUCCGGAUUUAUUGGGCGUAAAGCGAGCGCAGACGGUUGAUUAAGUCUGAUGUGAAAGCCCGGAGCUCAACUCCGGAAUGGCAUUGGAAACUGGUUAACUUGAGUGUUGUAGAGGUAAGUGGAACUCCAUGUGUAGCGGUGGAAUGCGUAGAUAUAUGGAAGAACACCAGUGGCGAAGGCGGCUUACUGGACAACAACUGACGUUGAGGCUCGAAAGUGUGGGUAGCAAACAGGAUUAGAUACCCUGGUAGUCCACACCGUAAACGAUGAAUACUAGGUGUUAGGAGGUUUCCGCCUCUUAGUGCCGAAGCUAACGCAUUAAGUAUUCCGCCUGGGGAGUACGACCGCAAGGUUGAAACUCAAAGGAAUUGACGGGGACCCGCACAAGCGGUGGAGCAUGUGGUUUAAUUCGAAGCAACGCGAAGAACCUUACCAGGUCUUGACAUCCUUUGAAGCUUUUAGAGAUAGAAGUGUUCUCUUCGGAGACAAAGUGACAGGUGGUGCAUGGUCGUCGUCAGCUCGUGUCGUGAGAUGUUGGGUUAAGUCCCGCAACGAGCGCAACCCUUAUUGUUAGUUGCCAGCAUUCAGUUGGGCACUCUAGCGAGACUGCCGGUGACAAACCGGAGGAAGGCGGGGACGACGUCAGAUCAUCAUGCCCCUUAUGACCUGGGCUACACACGUGCUACAAUGGCGUAUACAACGAGUUGCCAACCUGCGAAGGUGAGCUAAUCUCUUAAAGUACGUCUCAGUUCGGACUGCAGUCUGCAACUCGACUGCACGAAGUCGGAAUCGCUAGUAAUCGCGAUCAGCACGCCGCCGAUCGCCC